AUGAAGGGGUCGACAUCUUCAGGAUGGAGGGAGCAGGUAGGAUGCCGUGGGGCAAGGACAGCGCCAUCGUCGAGCCAGCAUCGCCCGCUCUAUGGAAGUGACCUCGCGGGCGCCGACAAGACGAAGGGCAGCGAGCCCUGGGCGAAGAUCACCGGCGAGGUGCGCUACAUGGAUGUUGAUUCUUGCAAGGGGACUGAAAUACUUCCAGACUUUGAUUGGAGUAUACCUCCAUCCUCCCAUGAUGUUGUUUUCAGUGGCAUUGACACUAGUGACCAAUGUUGUCACUUUCUGAACCCAACAAGAAGAGUUUGCUGUGAGGGCUAUGACUAUGGUCGUAGAUUUCUUGUCUGUCUUGUUGAGGGUUAUGGUACAUGUGCUUAUCUGAAGUGGGUGGACAAAGAAUGGCAGGGGAGGCCUAGGCAGGUGAUUGGCAAACUUGCUGAAGAGAAUGUGGCUCUUCAGAAAUUUGUCUUGGACAAGGAUGCUGAAAUUAUGAGGCUGAAGGAAGAGAGGAAGGCCAUGAUCAUGAAGCACAAGAAGGAGAUCAGAACUAGGGAUAGGAGGGAAAUUUGGUUAGCCUGUUUGGUCUGCUGCUCUACACUGUUGUAUGGUGUUGUAGCUCUAGUGAUAAGAGGUUUUGUGUAA
rnacentral:rRNA from 1 species